GACGAACGCUGGCGGCGUGCCUAAUACAUGCAAGUUGAGCGAUGAAGAUUGGUGCUUGCACCAAUUUGAAGAGCAGCGAACGGGUGAGUAACGCGUGGGGAAUCUGCCUUUGAGCGGGGGACAACAUUUGGAAACGAAUGCUAAUACCGCAUAAUAACUUUAAACAUAAGUUUUAAGUUUGAAAGAUGCAAUUGCAUCACUCAAAGAUGAUCCCGCGUUGUAUUAGCUAGUUGGUGAGGUAAAGGCUCACCAAGGCGAUGAUACAUAGCCGACCUGAGAGGGUGAUCGGCCACAUUGGGACUGAGACACGGCCCAAACUCCUACGGGAGGCAGCAGUAGGGAAUCUUCGGCAAUGGACGAAAGUCUGACCGAGCAACGCCGCGUGAGUGAAGAAGGUUGUCGGAUCGGAAAACUCUGUUGGUAGAGAAGAACGUUGGUGAGAGUGGAAAGCUCAUCAAGUGACGGUAACUACACAGAAAGGGACGGCUAACUACGUG
rnacentral:rRNA from 1 species